rnacentral:ncRNA from 1 species
GUAGCAAGGUACUGUUACACUUGCACGAUCAACCGUGUAAGUGUAACAGGAGAACCAAUUUCAGUUCAGUUUUCUUUCUUUAGUUAUUUUGGCCUCCAGGCUCCUUCAAAUAAGGCAUAUUGAAAAUGUUUUUCACUUCAUUUUCAGAAAUAGAUUAGGGAGUCCGAAGAUGUCAGUAGAAGCCCUGGGAAGAGUUAUCUUUUCUAUUUAACAGCCUGCUCACCUUAAAAUCAGUUCAGCCGAAGGUAGGGUCCAGUGGCCAGAAGAGCACCACACUGUCGUGUGGUGACCAGUGUGCCCCCAACAGCCCUUGAAAAUCUGGAGGACUGAGUGCUGACCAUGCCCAGUCGUACUCAUAAAUGCAUCAAGUCUCCAAGGUGAACAACCUUU